AUUUAUUAAUAUAUUGCUUUUUAAAAAUCAGUUUCUGUUUUGUAAUUAGGUAGAAACAGAACAGAAAGACAUUCUUGAUUUUGGUGACUGGAGUUGUGGAGGCUGGAAGUCCCUGCCAAUAAAAGCAAUGAACCGGACACACACCACUUACCAAUCAAGCUGAUUCUCAGUGUUGUGAGUAUGAACGUAGAGGAAAAAAUGCUGUUCACACAAUACAUUCUUUCUAUGAACUGAAAUAUUUUUGUUAAAGAUUUUGUUGACACAUUUCACAUUCUUAUUGCUAUUGGCUUUACUGAAACUGAGCCUUCUCUUUCUGAACAGAGCACCGUGGCCUGGCAAGGACUGACGUUUUCCAAGGAACCCGCUGAGCUCCUGUGGGAGCUGCUCCCUGCGCUGAUGUGGUCCCUCGGCUGGCAGGCUGCCCUGCGAUCAACCACGUGACACCUGCCUGUUAUGAGGGACAGGUAGGAGAGGAUGAGCUUUCCAUCAAAACAAAACAAAACAAAAACGAAUCCAAAGAAGCAACUCGGCUUUUCGGAUAUCAUGUUUAUGUUUUCUGGGAAUUGCUUUUCUCUAUGUCUAAAUAGACCACAAAUUUGAGACUGAUUUCCUUUGUCAGUAAAUGUGAAUGCUUCCAGUCAUCUGUCAAGUAUCUUAUGCUGUUCUGACGAUGAGGCAGAUGCCUGCUGUUCUGGGUCAAACCGAGAGAUUCAGGACUCAGGAGGAGACUUUGUGGCGAGAGUUGACAUAGAAGUUGACAGCCCAGACCCUCCACCAGUUCUUAGAAGUGUUGACCUCCAAGAAAGAGCCAAAGGAGCUAUAACUCCUGUUCCCAGAGACUUCCAGGUACCCUCAGUCCUCCCCUCUGCCUCAUUAUCUUGCUUUCAGAUUGAUGUCACUUUCAUGGUGACAGAUUGUUGAAAGGUCUGUCUCGCUCUAUCUUCGAGAUGAUGCACUUGGUGGCCAGCACGGCUCCAUCCACAAAACAACCCUUACCUCUGAGAAAAGCUGGGAACAUUGCAGUUUAUUUAGAUAUCAACGUAUGAAUUAUUGUCAGAGCACCAUAAGGUAGUCUUUCCCGAGACUGGGAGGGGUUCCCUGCCUUCUGAGGGUCCCGGGGCCGCCUGCCCCUUCAGGGUGCCCUGAGGACCAGAUGAUGGAAUCGCUGAGAGUUUUAAACACUGGCUGUUUCUCUAGCAUGAAGUAUAUGCUAUGGGGCUCUCUGUGUAGACUCCAGUGUCUUGAAUGUGAAAAGCAAGUUCUAGAUUGAUUUCUGAAAAAUGUGCAUGUCAGCCUGUGGCUAGAAUUGGGGAAGAGUGGCCCACACACUUUGACCUCUUUUCUGAGACGUGAAGGUGAGUGAGGGUGCGUUAGUGACAGGAAAUUGGGGGUGCAGUUUGUGGGACAUCGGGUUUGUUAUGGAAGAAAAAGAAGGAAGAGAGGUGCUUUCCAAGAGAACAGGAUGAGUUGAGCCUGUGAUGGACUGGGAGAAAGGGAAGAAUAGCCUCUCCUGGUAAAUGAGAAAGGAAUCUAAGGCAGGAGUCACUGAGUGAAAGCGGCAUUUUUGUAAGUCAGCAUUUAAUUAUGAUUCUGUCACUAUUUAGGUCCCCGAAUGAGGAAGUCCCUCUUUAGUGGAUCCAGAUAAUCUAUUCAUUAGACCUGGAGAAGAACAGGAGGUUGUAGUUUCUUUUUCUCCAAAGGAUCCCCAAGUUUGGGAGGAAAGGUAACAUAAAUAUGUUUAUAAUGACAAGAUUUUACUCAUCUUUCAAAACAGCCACUUGCUUGGAUGUGCUUCAAAACCCACCAUCUGAAUGACACAGUCCACAUCUUACUUUUGCUAAUAGAUGCCAUGAAUCUGUGUAAACCCUUUCAUUUAGCUUCAGAUUUUCUUCUUUUUGUUACUGAGAAUCUCCUUUCAAACCAGCUGAAUAGAUAUUAAGAAAUGAUUAUUUUAAGUAUAUUCUGACAAAAGUAAACAAUGAAACAACAAUUUUGAUUUUUCUUAUUCACUUUUCUUAUUCUCCCAGAACCUGUUGAUUUUGUCAGCUGUUGAGCUGUAUUUCUCCAUUUCUUCUAUGGGCCCAUGAAUUCUGGGCUUCCAAAUCCCAAGUGAAUAUCAGCCUGCAGCCGGAGCUCCCCUGUCUAGGGUACCAAGCUUGCUUGUGUGACCCUUGCUUCAACGGCCCUCUCCUCGGAGACACACAUGGCUUCUGCCCCUGCCUGGGCUACAGAACUCUUUCAUGUGUUCAGUCUGCUAUUAGGAUCUUAGGGAAGAAGAGAAGAGUCCUGCCUGCACCAGUGUGAACGCCUGUGCCUGGAAUGCUUGCCCACGGCUUCCCUGGGCUGGCUCCCUCUGGCAAGCUUUCCUCCACUCUUCCCAGGUUUCCCAUGAACAGCAUGCUUGUAGCACCAUGGCCGCUCACACCCCCUGUGCAGAUGGCAUUGGAUUGUCUCUCUCCUUGCCUAUAUUCUUAUCUGGAGCACAAGCUCUAAGAGUGGGAAUAUCAUUGUGUCCUCAGCACCUAGCUAGGUCUUUUGGGCAAAGGAAAUAUAGGAAAUAGUUGACCAAAGAAUUGAAUUCAGAAUCUUCAACUCAGAUUCCUUUCUCUAUUAGGAUCUAAAAACUGUCUGUGCAGCCAUUUGGACCUCAGAGUGAAGUAGUGGUAAAAGGUGAAGUCCAUUCUUCAGGAAGUAAACCUCUGCCAGGCGGAUCAUGCUCAGACAUUCGAUUGAAGUUUGUCCAACAGUUUCUUGCCUUGGAAGGUGUCCCUCUUGGUGGAACACAGUAAGUGUCAAAGAUGGACAAAUAGUCAAUCCCCUGUUUGUACAUGUAUAGGAGAAGAUCCCAAAUUAAUGUUUGGAGGACAAUUUUGUUGUAACAGACACUGUUGAGGCUCAGUUGUACAGAACUGGAAAAGCCUUUAUAUGUGCAUAUGUCUAGAUUCAGCCUUUGUUUAACAUAUAUUCCAAUCCUGAUCCUGCCUUCACCAGCUGCAAAGAGUAGCUGACAUGUGACCACAACACAGGAGCUGCUGAAGAGGGAGGAUUAUCACCUCAAACUCACGGCCACCUGGUAUUUUCAAAAGCCAGCUGAGAGAGAGAGUUACAGAGAGCUGUGGAGAGAACAUGUAGUCCAUCCAGGCAUCUCAGUGAGCUAAAUUUCUCAAUCAGUCACCCCGUGGUUUCUGGAUGUCACACUUCCUGCCCAUACCAAAUGGAGCACCUCAAAAGGAGCAGAGCCUAAGAAAUGGGAUUUAGUAUUUACUGUAAAAUUGGGUUUUUGAGACUCCCCAUGUUCCACAGAUUCAUCUCCAAAGGUCUCAGCUUUCUCUUUUAAUACAAGGCAGAGAGGUGCAGACCACAGCUUAAAUAAUUAGCUGCUGAUUUUCCCCAAAUUUGAGUAAGACCCUUCUUUUCACAGACAAAAUGUGGGUGAGAUGGCAACGUAAUUCACAAAAAACUGGUGCCUCUUCUUCUUUUAUGAGAUGGUGAUGGGCUUGUGGAACUCAGCUGGUCACACUUACCUUAUAAGUGGACUGGAAGGUGUAUGUGGGGUCGUCUUUAUCCUCUGGGGUGUAUCCUCACCAAAUUGAACCGUCUUCCAUCUAACUGGGAAACUGUAAAGACUCAUUAUAGAAGCCAUCUGCUUCCACCAGAUGGCUAUACCUUCUUCACAGGCAGCCACGAUCAAUGUUGAGCUGCAAGUUGUGGCCUGGGCCAAGCACACGGCUGCAGCUUUGAGUAAUAUGCACCAUGCCCUUACCCUCCUGAGGACAUCGCUCAGAUUAGGCAGGUGGCCUUACCAAACUGAAUGGCAAAGCCAUUUUAAAGCAGCUCAAGGGGGAACUGGUGCUUUGAUCAAAACCAAAUGUUGCAGCAUGUUUGAGACUAUUCACACAAUAUUACCCAGGCUAAGAAAGCUUUAGACACUCGUAUCUCUGCCACUGAUGCACCGUCAGCCAACUCCGUAUCGGCUUGGUCCCAACAACUGCCCAGUCUUUGGAAAACUUCCUGUUAGUUUACCUGGGAUAAUUUUACUUAUUUUUCUUUGAUGUUGUUGGGUAUGUUAUGGUUGUACUCUGUGGAGGAACACAAGAUAAGCUUACUCGAUACUUUCUUAACUUGGACACUUAUUAAUCUUCCAGGUUUCACCUCUUGCUGGAACUCAGAGCUGCAAACGAUGCUUAACGUACCAACGCUUUCUGACUGAGCUCCUCUCUACCCUGAAUACAAGAGACCCUAAUAGUUAUGUGGAAAUGUCAUUGCCCCUGUUCAGCAUGAAGAAGUUACAGAAGACGGACCUUCAUCCUUCUGCAACCCCGAGGAUUAAGG